AGAGUUUGAUCCUGGCUCAGAACGAACGUUAGCGGCGCGCCUAACACAUGCAAGUCGAACGCGACAGGGGCAACUCUGUUGAGUGGCGCACGGGUGAGUAACACGUAGGUAAUCUCCCCCCGAGUGGUGGAUAACCCUCCGAAAGGAGAGCUAAUACAGCAUAAGACCACGGGGUCGAAAGACCUUGAGGUCAAAGCGGAGGAUCGUAAGACUUCGCGCUUGGGGAUGAGCCUGCGGCCCAUCAGGUAGUUGGCGGGGUAAUGGCCCACCAAGCCAUAGACGGGUAGCUGGUCUGAGAGGAUGAUCAGCCACACUGGAACUGAGACACGGUCCAGACUCCUACGGGAGGCAGCAGUGGGGAAUCUUGCGCAAUGGACGAAAGUCUGACGCAGCGACGCCGCGUGGGUGAUGAAGGCCUUCGGGUUGUAAAGCCCUGUGGGGAGGGACGAAUAAGUUGCGGCUAAUACCCGCAGCGAUGACGGUACCUCCUUAGCAAGCACCGGCUAAACUUCUGUGCCAGCAGCCGCGGUA
rnacentral:rRNA from 1 species